GCGGCCUAUCAGCUUGUUGGUGAGGUAAUGGCUCACCAAGGCGACGACGGGUAGCCGGCCUGAGAGGGCGACCGGCCACACUGGGACUGAGACACGGCCCAGACUCCUACGGGAGGCAGCAGUGGGGAAUAUUGGGCAAUGGAGGAAACUCUGACCCAGCGACGCCGCGUGCGGGAUGAAGGCCUUCGGGUUGUAAACCGCUUUCAGUAGGGAAGAAGCGAAAGUGACGGUACCUACAGAAGAAGCACCGGCUAACUAUGUGCCAGCAGCCGCGGUAAUACAUAGGGUGCAAGCGUUGUCCGGAAUUAUUGGGCGUAAAGAGCUCGUAGGUGGUUCGUUACGUCGGAUGUGAAAAUCUGGGGCUCAACCCCAGACCUGCAUCCGAUACGGUCGAGCUAGAGUUUGGUAGGGGAGACUGGAAUUCCU
rnacentral:rRNA from 1 species